UACGGAGGGAGCUAGCGUUGUUCGGAAAUACUGGGCGUAAAGCGCACGUAGGCGGCGCAGCAAGUCAGGGGUGAAAUCCCGGGGCUCAACCCCGGAACUGCCCUUGAAACUGCAGUGCUAGAAUUCUGGAGAGGCGAGUGGAAUUCCGAGUGUAGAGGUGAAAUUCGUAGAUAUUCGGAAGAACACCAGUGGCGAAGGCGGCAUCCUGGACCAAUUCUGACGCUGAGGAGCGAAAGCCAGGGGAGCAAACGGG
rnacentral:rRNA from 1 species